rnacentral:rRNA from 1 species
GACGAACGCUGGCGGCGUGCUUAACACAUGCAAGUCGAACGGAAAGGCCCUGCUUUUGUGGGGUGCUCGAGUGGCGAACGGGUGAGUAACACGUGAGUAACCUGCCCUUGACUUUGGGAUAACUUCAGGAAACUGGGGCUACUACCGGAUAGGAGCUCCUGCUGCAUGGUGGGGGGUGGAACGUUUCGGCGGUCGGGGAUGGACUCGCGGCUUAUCAGUUUGUUGGUGGGGUAGGGGCAUACCAAGGCUUUGACGGGUAGCCGGCCUGAGAGGGUGGCCGGCCACAUUGGGACUGAGAUACGGCCCAGACUCCUACGGGGGGCAGCAGUGGGGAAUAUUGCACAAUGGGCGGAAGCCUGAUGCAGCAACGCCGCGUGCGGGAUGACGGCCUUCGGGUUGUAAACCGCUUUCGCCUGUGACGAAGCGUGAGUGACGGUAAUGGGUAAAGAAGCACCGGCUAACUACGUG